UGGCAGGUCAGCAUACUGCCGUGAAUACGUUCCCGGGCCUUGUACACACCGCCCGUCACACCAUGAGAGUUGGAGAUACCCGAAGCCUAUGAGCUAACUUUUAGAGGCAGUAGUCGAAGGUAGAAUCAAUGAUUGGGGUGAAGUCGUAACAAGGUAUC
rnacentral:rRNA from 1 species